AUCAAAAGGGACUGGGCAGACAUUCUAACAAGCAAUGCUAAACAAAUUUCCAAGUCUCCCUGAAAUGAAUAUUCUUCUGUUUUGUAUCAAGUAGCACAAUUCUUCUCAGAAGAACUGAAGGUAACCCACUUCAGAAAGCUUUAAGCUGGAGGAAUGCUUUGAAAGAAAAUAUGUGAGAUGUAUUAUUCAAGUUGGGAAUUUCACCUGUGCUCUGGAGGACUCCUGACAUCUUUAAUCUGAGAGUGGGAAGCUCAGCAGAAUUCUAUUCCUUUCACUUUGUCCUAAUAUUAAGAGUUCUUCAGAAGAGAAUACUGAGCCGACUUUUUGCUGGAUCACUCUACAGAUUAUGUUUUAGAGCAGUAAAUAUUGUUCUCAUGGAACUCAAACCCAAAACAAUAAACAUUUUCCCUAAAACCA